CUGCCAGUGUAAAUAUUCAAGCUACUGAGCAUGACUUUUAUGAACUGACUUUGUGUUGUCUACCUCUGCCUGAGGCCAGACCCGGGGAACGUGGCCCUGUAAUCACAGUUAUACCAUAAUGCCUGUGAUACCUACUGUCCCUUUAGUCAAACAGGAAGCAUGGGUGUAUAAUCACUACCUCCCUGGUCGACAUCAAAUGCUGCACAUCUGAUAGGAAGCUUCUUUGUUUGCCGCCCUCUGGCAACAUUAUUCCUGAUUCUUUGAAGGUAGUUGAUACAGUGGCUGCUACACUCAUUUAUUUAGUGAUAGACUUAUUUCAGCAGAUAUACACGGGACUGGAGUUGGUUAACAGCCAGCUCUUCACCUC
rnacentral:lncRNA from 1 species